rnacentral:tRNA from 1 species
ACCUGACUGGCUCAGUCAGUAGAGCAUGCAACUCUUGAUCUCAGGGUCAUGAGUUCAAACCCCAUGUUGGGCA